rnacentral:rRNA from 1 species
AGAGUUUGAUCCUGGCUCAGGAUGAACGCUGGCGGCGUGCCUAACACAUGCAAGUCGAACGCGACCUUCGGGUCGAGUGGCGAACGGGUGCGUAACACGUAGACAACCUACCCCGGAGCGGGGGAUAACCACUGGAAACGGUGGCUAAUACCCCGUACGCUCGGAAGAGGAAAGGCCUUCGGGUCGCUCUGGGAGGGGUCUGCGGCCUAUCAGCUGGUUGGCGAGGUAACGGCUCACCAAGGUGAUGACGGGUAGCUGGCCUGAGAGGGUGGUCAGCCACAUGGGGACUGAGAGACGGCCCCAACUCCUACGGGAGGCAGCAGUGAGGAAUAUUGCCCAAUGGGGGAAACCCUGAGGCAGCAACGCCGCGUGGAGGACGACGUCCUUCGGGAUGUAAACUCCUUUUCAGGGGGAGCAGGAAGGAGCGUACCCCUGGAAGAAGUCACGGCUAACUACGUGCCAGCAGCCGCGGUAACACGUAGGUGACAAGCGUUAUCCGGAUUUACUGGGCGUAAAGGGUCCGUAGGUGGCCUUCAAGGUCUGUUGUGAAAUCCCCCGGCUCAACUGGGGGGAGCCAAUGGAAACCGGGAGGCUAGAGUCACACAGAGGUCACUCGAAUUCCCGGUGUAGUGGUGGAAUGCGUAGAGAUCGGGAGGAAGACCAGAGGCGCAAGCGGGUGACUGGGUGCUGACUGACACUGAGGGACGAAAGCGUGGGGAGCGAACAGGAUUAGAUACCCUGGUAGUCC